GUCAGUGUCGUCUAGUGGUUAGGACGCGAGCUUCACACGCUCGAAGAUCGAGGGUUCGAUCCCCUCCUCUGAUA
rnacentral:tRNA from 1 species